rnacentral:rRNA from 1 species
CUGUGUCCUUCGACGCCGGUUCACCGCUUGACGGUGCCAACUGGCGUUUUGCGGGACGUCCUGUCGGUGGCGCGCCAGGAAUCUU